UACGUAGGGGGGCUAGCGUUGUCCGGAAUCAUUGGGCGUAAAGCGCGUGUAGGCGGCCCGAUAAGUCCGCUGUGAAAGUCCAGGGCUCAACCCUGGGAUGCCGGUGGAUACUGUCGGGCUCGAGUCCGGAAGAGGCGAGUGGAAUUCCUGGUGUAGCGGUGAAAUGCGCAGAUAUCAGGAGGAACACCAAUGGCGAAGGCAGCUCGCUGGGACGUGACUGACGCUGAGACGCGAAAGCGUGGGGAGCAAACAGG
rnacentral:rRNA from 1 species